CUUUCGGCUGCAACUUCAGCCCGCCAAUUGAGCAAAGGAGACAGAGAUUUGCAAAUUAAAGACUCAGAUUAGAGGCGGUGCCAUUUUGUGCUGUUGCGCUGUCCUCUUUUGAGAUAGGUCAGAUUUUUUUUCCUUGAUUUGUUUUAUUUGUGAUGUGAGUUGGAUCAAUCUGUGAUGGCGAGCCAAUCCCACAAACGAGCCAGACAACUUCUUCCCGUGCUGCCCUGCACAGUGCAGUAGCCCAGCUGCCACACCAUUCUGCACCUGCUGUCCUCUUUCACACACACACACAUACACUGACAUUCCCCUCGACUUUUGGACGCUUUAAGGACUUCUACGGACUCAGCACACUCCCACAGGCAGGAAGUGGAUCUGGUAUGGACAGGUUGGAACCACCCCUCCAAAAUAAGGUUCUGUUGCAUACAGCUGGUGAGAUCAAUUUGUUUUGUUAUUGGAAUGAUUUUAUUUUGAACUAAAGCCUAAUUUGUGAAUUUAGAAGGGUGCACCUGGGAGAGCUUUAAAAUUGCCAAUUGAUUGUGAGAUAAGUUAUUGGUACCAAAGGGAAACUUUUAUUUAAAAUUUAUUACAUUUUUUUUUUCUCUUUUAAAUACAAAUACACAAGCCGGCAACUUUUCAAAACCAUAACCUGUGUCUGAGUCUCAUUCUUUUCAUACCUUCUUCCUGAAGCCGAACCUUCUGGCCCAAAUCAGUUAAACUUCCUUACAUUAAGUUUUGGCAGGAAAAUCCUGAGGUAAGAUCUCUUUAAGUAACCACCAAGUGUUUCACUACCCCUUACUCCCUAACCACAAAACAGGAGAAAAGAUCUUCAAAAGAAAAUGGCAGCUCACCCUUUCUGCUUCACACCUGAAACACACGGGAAAAACACACUUUGCACUGCAAAUGGGUGGAUGAGGCAAGGUCUGACUCACAAUAUGCUCACCUCGGCCGCCACCACAGCUGCUGGCUGCAACAAGCCUUUGAGCUGUCAGCUGGUACCCGGAGCCAGUCGCCAGUCGGAGUGCCAAACCCCCAGGACGUCCAAUCGCCAGCGAAGGAGGCGGGGCCGCUGAGAACAUCCAACUCCUGCAGAAAGCGGACACUCGAACGCAGACAGAUACACAGGCAGUUACACACACGAAUAACAUUUCA